CGGGAGGCAGCAGUGGGGAAUAUUGGACAAUGGGCGAAAGCCUGAUCCAGCAAUGCCGCGUGAGUGAUGAAGGCCUUAGGGUUGUAAAGCUCUUUUACUGGGGAUGAUAAUGACAGUACCCAGAGAAUAAGCUCCGGCUAACUCCGUGCCAGCAGCCGCGGUAA
rnacentral:rRNA from 1 species